rnacentral:rRNA from 1 species
CCUACGGGAGGCAGCAGUGAGGAAUAUUGGUCAAUGGGCGCGAGCCUGAACCAGCCAAGUAGCGUGAAGGAUGACUGCCCUACGGGUUGUAAACUUCUUUUGUCAGGGAGCAAAGGGCGCCACGUGUGGCGUUUUGCGAGUACCUGAAGAAAAAGCAUCGGCUAACUCCGUGCCAGCAGCCGCGGUAAUACGGAGGAUGCGAGCGUUAUCCGGAUUUAUUGGGUUUAAAGGGUGCGCAGGCGGAAUGUCAAGUCAGCGGUAAAAUUUCGGGGCUCAACCCCGUCGUGCCGUUGAAACUGGCGUUCUUGAGUGAGCGAGAAGUAUGCGGAAUGCGUGGUGUAGCGGUGAAAUGCAUAGAUAUCACGCAGAACUCCGAUUGCGAAGGCAGCAUACCGGCGCUCAACUGACGCUCAUGCACGAAAGCGUGGGUAUCGAACAGGAUUAGAUACCCUUGUAGUC